CGUGGGGCAGCGGAUGCUUAGCUUGCUAAGUAUGCCGGCGACCGGCGCACGGGUGAGUAACGCGUACCGAACCUGCCCAUCACACAGGGAUAGGCUUGCGAAAGCAAGAUUAAUACCUGAUGGUCUCAGUUGUAUGCAUGUAUGAUUGAGUAAAGCCUUCGGGCGGUGAUGGAUGGCGGUGCGUCCCAUUAGGAAGUUGGCGGGGUAACGGCCCACCAAUCCUUCGAUGGGUAGGGGUUCUGAGAGGAAGGUCCCCCACAUUGGAACUGAGAUACGGUCCAAACUCCUACGGGAGGCAGCAGUGAGGAAUAUUGGUCAAUGGGCGAGAGCCUGAACCAGCCAAGUAGCGUGUGGGAUGAAGGCCCUUGUGGUCGUAAACCGCUUUUAUCAGUGAAUAAAGUGCACCACGUGUGGUGUCAUUGCAGGUAGCUGAAGAAAAAGGACCGGCUAAUUCCGUGCCAGCAGCCGCGGUAAUACGGAAGGUCCGGGCGUUAUCCGGAAUUAUUGGGUUUAAAGGGAGCGCAGGCGGGAGUAUAAGUCAGCUGUUAAAUAUCAGGGCCCAACUCUGUUAUGCAGUUGAAACUAUAUUUCUUGAGUACGCACAGGGAUGGCGGAAUUCAGGGUGUAGCGGUGAAAUGCUUAGAUAUCCUGAAGAACUCCGAUCGCGAAGGCAGCCAUCCGGAGCGUAACU
rnacentral:rRNA from 1 species